rnacentral:rRNA from 1 species
GUCCUACGGGAGGCAGCAGUGAGGAAUAUUGGUCAAUGGGCGGAAGCCUGAACCAGCCAAGUCGCGUGAGGGAAUAAGGCCCUACGGGUCGUAAACCUCUUUUGCCGGGGAGCAAGGGCCGGGACGCGUCCCGGCCCGGAGAGUACCCGGAGAAAAAGCAUCGGCUAACUCCGUGCCAGCAGCCGCGGUAAUACGGAGGAUGCGAGCGUUAUCCGGAUUUACUGGGUGUAAAGGGAGCGUAGACGGCAGGGCAAGUAUGAAGUGAAAGGCAAGGG